rnacentral:lncRNA from 10 species
UUACCAAGUAGCAGACAUUACACUAAAGCAUUUAUAAACAUAAUGUCUCAUCCUCAUAAUAACCUAUCAUGGAUACUCUUUCCUCUAUUACAGAUGAGAAGACUGAGACAGAGAGACUAAGAAACUGAGAAAUUCUGCAAGAUUGGAAGAUGCAAUAUUCAGAUCAGGCUCAUGCCUAGUCAUUUUCUCCACAAUAUUCAGGGCAUUGCUAACAAAGACAGAUGGAUCUGGAUCCAAAUCCCAGCUCUACUAGUUUCUAGAAUGUGUGACCAUGGAGUUCAAAUCCCAAAGGAGAACUUUCUGCAAAGCCAGAAGAGUAUUUUUUCAGGAGGGGUGAGAAAUAACAACUGGAAAUGAAAGAACACCAGGCUGGAAGGCGGUAGGGGCAUCAGCAGAGGACUAUGCCGGCCAUGAAAAAUGGGAAGUGUCUUGCUGGAAGGUUUCUCCAGACAAAGGAAGAACAGUGAUGAAGAAAAUGACCCAAUGAUGGGGAUGAAGGGGAUGAAGAGAGUUGUGUGAGUCCCAGGGAUCGCUGGUGUCUAAGCGACAGCUCCUUGGUGGACUGUGGUUUAGGAAAUCGGGGGAGGGCGGGAAAUGAACGUUAAUAAGAGGGACUGAGAAGGGGGGAGUCCCGGAGCCGAGGGACCGUGAGGGUGAGUGCCUGGCGCCAUGGAACGCCACCAGGGAGGGCAGCGGGCUACCCUGGGGACCUGGGUCCCGUGUGGGUUUAAGGAGACGUGUCUAGCCAGGUUUUCAGGGGACAGGCACCAGGAGGCUGCGGUCUGGAGCCAGCACCGGGCUUUGGGGCGCUCUUACCCGCAAUUCCUACUCCCCCGUCU